CACGCGUGAGGGAACAGAGGUUAAAAGUCCAAACGCAGAGGCACUUUCCGUGUGUGUGUGCGCACGCGUGAGGGAACAGAGGUUAAAAGUCCAAACGCAGAGGCACUUUCCGUGUGUGUGUGCGCACGCGUGAGGGAACAGAGGUUAAAAGUCCAAACGCAGAGGCACUUUCCGUGUGUGUGUGCGCACGCGUGAGGGAUCAGAGGUUAAAAGUCCAAACGCAGAGGCACUUUCCGUGUGUGUGUGCGCACGCGUGAGGGAUCAGAGGUUAAAAG